UGAGGAAUUUUCUGCAAUGGGCGAAAGCCUGACAGAGCAAUACCGCGUGAAGGAAAAAAAGAAAGAAGGCCUUCGGGUUGUAAACUUCUUUUCUCAAGGAAGAAGAUCUGACGUUACUUGAGGAAUAAGUAUCGGCUAACCCUGUGCCAGCAGCCGCGGUAAUACAGGGGAUGCGAGCGUUAUCCGGAAUUAUUGGGCGUAAAGAGUUUGUAGGUGGGUGUGUAAGUCUUUUGUUAAAUCUUUGAGCUUAACUCAAAUGCCGCAAAAGAUACUAUAUAUCUUGAGUAUUGUAGGGGUAGAGGGAAUUUUUAGUGGAGCGGUGAAAUGCGUAGAUAUUAAAAAGAACACCAAUAGCGAAGGCACUUUACUGGGCAAUUACUGACACUGAGAAACGAAAGCUAAGGGAGCAAAUAGG
rnacentral:rRNA from 1 species